GCACCUGCAAAAUCAGGUGCCGGGAUUGGUCUCCCGAAUACCAUACUGGCGACAUAUGACGCGCCUUGCGUCUUUUUU
rnacentral:sRNA from 1 species